rnacentral:rRNA from 1 species
AAUGAACGCUGGCGGCGUGCUUAACACAUGCAAGUCGAGCGAGGCCUGGGGGCAACUCCAGAGUCGAGCGGCGGACGGGUGAGUAACACGUGGGUAACCUGCCCGGAAGUGGGGAAUACCUCGGGGAAACUCGAGCUAAUACCGCAUGACAUCUUCGGGACGAAAGUCCUGACGAUCAAAGCGGGGUCGCAAGAUCUCGCGCUACCGGAUGGGCCCGCGCCCGAUUAGCUAGUUGGUUGAGGUAACGGCUCACCAAGGCUUCGAUCGGUAACCGGCCUGAGAGGGCGGAUCGGUCACACCGGAA